GUGUUAUUCCAUGCACCAACCAUUCCAUGUGUUCCAGGCAUGAGUAUAGGAUCUUCUUGUUCCUGGAGCCCAAGCUCCUGCCAAUAAGUCAAGAGUUGCUUGUGAAACGUUCGGCAUGACCCAAGGUCCCCGGAGAGGAGCCACGCCAGAAGUCUGAGAUGCCCCUGAACCAAAAAGGGGUGAGAGUUCCCAUCGGGAUCCGAUAGUAGGUCCAUGGA